AGAACGAACGCUGGCGGCAUGCCUAAUACAUGCAAGUCGAACGAACUCUUCGGAGUUAGUGGCGCACGGGUGCGUAACGCGUGGGAAUCUGCCCCUUGGUUCGGAAUAACAGUUGGAAACGACUGCUAAUACCGGAUGAUGACGAAAGUCCAAGGAUUUAUCGCCAAGGGAUGAGCCCGCGUAGGAUUAGCUAGUUGGUGAGGUAAAGGCUCACCAAGGCAACGAUCCUUAGCUGGUCUGAGAGGAUGAUCAGCCACACUGGGACUGAGACACGGCCCAGACUCCUACGGGAGCAGCAGUAGGAAUAUUGGACAAUGGGCGAAAGCCCGAUCCAGCAAUGCCGCGUGAGUGAUGAAGGCCUUAGGUUGUAAAGCUCUUUACCGAGAUGAUAAUGACAGUAUCGGAGAAUACGCCCGACUAACUCCGUAGCCAGCAGCCGC
rnacentral:rRNA from 1 species